CAUGAAGUUGCUCCAUUGUUCACAGGGCUCCCUGCCUCAUAUACAUUGACAGAAGCUACUGUUUACAUUCCUUCAUUGUUUGCUUAUGGAAAAUAAGGGGGAGUGACAAAAAAGAGAAGGGAAAGAGAGAGAGAAAAGAGGGAGGCACUGACCAUAGUGCAGAACCACCCAAUAACCUUGUCUUAUGUGAUCAUUAACCUUGCUGGAAAAUGCAUCUGGCAGUGCACUCUGGAGCUUGUCAUUAGAAUGUGAGCAGAGACACAGAUACUGCAGAGGCAUUUCAAGGAUUUUUUGAUUUGCUGCAAAUAUUAUAAAUAUUUCACCUAUUUUGUGUGACUGCAAAAUGAGAUUCCAACAGCUCCUUUAUAUCUUAUUUUUUCUCUUGAUGAGUCUACUCCUUAUAAAUGGACAGAGGCCAGCUAACCUGGCCCUGCGCAGAAAGCUGCACAGACACAACUGCUCCCACAGGCGAUGUAUGCCUCUCCACUCCAGAGUGCCCUUCCCCUGAGUGGCAUGUAGAGACCCCAACCACAAUCAGGACCACAUUGUAGCUGGACAUACCUAUAAAAGAAGAAUGAAAGAGGAAACCAGUCAAGAAAAUGCAAUGUGAUAGCUGCAGCAUUCUAAUCAGUGCAGGUGUCCAUGUAAAAGCCAUCACCACAUUCAGAACCUUAUCAGACUCCUUCUGGAACAACUUCACAGGAGUUUCAGAUUUCUCUAAGUUGGGAAAAACAAUGGAAUCUCAAAGGACCCCUUUCAGGAACUUGGGAAAAUCAAGAGUGCCAUAAAAAGAUAAGUCAUUCUUUUCUACAUACCAACAAAUAGCCAUGUGGGUAACAGCAAAGCAUUGUAGCUUUGAAAUUUUUCAAAAAUUAGACCAACAUUAUACCACUGAAAGAGCUAUUAUUUUAAUAGUUAUUAUUUACCAUUCACAUAUGUCUGUGUAUUUCUAUUUAGAUAUAAUACCUAGUAAAGAACAUGAAAAGAAUGGUGAAAAAUAAAUAUUUAAUAGUUACAUUUUAUGGACAAAUAUAUGGGUUUUAAUGUUUAUGGUAGUAUUGGAUGUUUAUAUGUAGCCAUAAUUAUGCAAUUAACUUUACUAUAUUCUUAAGAAAAGCAUAAUGCAUCUAUCAGAAAGUUGUAAGUGCUAACCUCUCUUAGGAAGCAAAAAUCUUCAAUCUAGACUUUAGAAAAGAAUCCUGAAUGUCUUAGCUCUGUUAUAAAUCAUGUUGCAUACCACAAAAACAUAGGUCAUGAUCUUUGACGGUUAUUUGUGUUUAUAAAAUACCUAUGUGGCUGUAUAUUUUGUAAAAA